CCUACGGGAGGCUGCAGUGGGGAAUAUUGCACAAUGGGGGAAACCCUGAUGCAGCGACGCCGCGUGAGUGAGGAAGUAUUUCGGUAUGUAAAGCUCUAUCAGCAGCGAAGAAAAUGACGGUACCUGACUAAGAAGCCCCUGCUAACUACGUGCCAGCAGCCGCGGUAAUACGUAGGUGGCAAGCGUUAUCCGGAUUUACUUGGUGUAAAGGGAGCGUAGACGGAAAUGCAAGUCUGAUGUGAAAAUCCUGGGCUCAACCCGGGAACUGCAUUGGAAACUGUAUUUAGAGAGUGUCGGAGAGGCAAGGGGAAUUCCUGGUGUAGCGGUGAAAUGCGUAGAUAUCAGGAGGAACACCAGUGGCGAAGGCGGCUUGCUGGACGAUGACUGACGUUGAGGCUCGAAAGCGUGGGGAGCAAACAGGAUUAGAUACCCUAGUAGUC
rnacentral:rRNA from 1 species